rnacentral:rRNA from 1 species
UUACCGAGUUAGGGUGCCUAAACCGCGCCCGACCUCCAACCCUUUGUCUACCUGACCUUAUGUUGCUUCGGCAGGCCCGCCUUCCCCUCCGGGGAGGCCGCCGGGGGUCCGCAAGGACCCCGGGCCCGCGCCUGUCGACGGCCCUCAUACCUAAACUAUUGUUAAAACGUGUCGUCUGAGUUAUCUAAACAAAUGAAAAUUAAAACUUUCAACAACGGAUCUCUUGGUUCUGGCAUCGAUGAAGAACGCAGCGAAAUGCGAUAAGUAAUGCGAAUUGCAGAAUCCGUGAGUCAUCGAAUCUUUGAACGCACAUUGCGCCCUCUGGUAUUCCGGAGGGCAUGCCUGUUCGAGCGUCAUUAUCACCCCUCAAGCCCGGCUUGUUGUUGGUUGUAGCGGCCCCCCCGCUCUUCCCAAAGAUAAUGACGGCGUCUGUGAGGACUCCUGUACACUGAGCUUUCGGGCACGUACUAGGCUAGAACUUCAGACCCGGUCACCGUCCCCUCUGGGGACACUAUUUUACCAAGGUUGACCUCGGAUCAGGUAGGGAUACCCGCUGAACUUAAGCAUAUCAAUAAGCGGAGGAAAAGAAACCAACAGGGAUUGCCUCAGUAACGGCGAGUGAAGCGGCAACAGCUCAAAU